GAUGAACGCUGGCGGCGUGCCUAAUACAUGCAAGUCGAGCGAACGGACGAGACGCUUGCUUCUCUGAUGUUAGCGGCGGACGGGUGAGUAACACGUGGAUAACCUACCUAUAAGACUGGGAUAACUUCGGGAAACCGGCGCUAAUACCGGAUAAUAUUUUGAACCGCAUGGUUCAAAAGUGAAAGACGGUCUUGCUGUCACUUCUCGAUGGAUCCGCGCUGCAUUAGCUAGUUGGUAAGGUCACGGCUUACCAAGGCAACGAUGCAUAGCCGACCUGAGAGGGUGAUCGGCGACACUGGAGCGGAGACACGGACCAGACUCCUACGGGAGGCAGCAGUAGGGAAUGUUCCGCAAUGGGCGAAAGCCUGACGGAGCAACGCCGCGUGAGUGAUGAAGGUCUUCGGAUCGUAAAACUCUGUUAUUAGGGAAGAACAGAUGUGUAAGUAACUGUGCACAGCUUGACGGUACCUAAUCAGAAAGCCACGGCUAACUACGUG
rnacentral:rRNA from 1 species